rnacentral:rRNA from 1 species
CAGUAGCCGCGGUAAUACGAAGGGGGCUAGCGUUGUUCGGAAUUACUGGGCGUAAAGCGCACGUAGGCGGAUAUUUAAGUCAGGGGUGAAAUCCCGCAGCUCAACUGCGGAACUGCCUUUGAUACUGGGUAUCUUGAGUAUGGAAGAGGUUAGUGGAAUUGCGAGUGUAGAGGUGAAAUUCGUAGAUAUUCGCAGGAACACCAGUGGCGAAGGCGGCUAACUGGUCCAUAACUGACGCUCAGGUGCGAAAGCGUGGGGAGCAAACAGGAUUAGAUACCCGAGUAGUCCCUGUCUCUUAUAC